rnacentral:rRNA from 1 species
UGGGGGAUAUUGCACAAUGGGGGAAACCCUGAUGCAGCGACGCCGCGUGGAGGAAGAAGGUUUUCGGAUUGUAAACUCCUGUCGUUAGGGACGAUAAUGACGGUACCUAACAAGAAAGCACCGGCUAACUACGUGCCAGCAGCCGCGGUAAAACGUAGGGUGCAAGCGUUGUCCGGAAUUACUGGGUGUAAAGGGAGCGCAGGCGGGAAGACAAGUUGGAAGUGAAAACCAUGGGCUCAACCCAUGAAUUGCUUUCAAAACUGUUUUUCUUGAGUAGUGCAGAGGUAGAUGGAAUUCCCGGUGUAGCGGUGGAAUGCGUAGAUAUCGGGAGGAACACCAGUGGCGAAGGCGGUCUACUGGGCACCAACUGACGCUGAGGCUCGAAAGCAUGGGUAGCAAACAGGAUUAGAUACCCUGGUAGUCCAUGCCGUAAACGAUGAUUACUAGGUGUUGGGGGAUUGACCCCCUCAGUGCCGCAGUUAACACAAUAAGUAAUCCACCUGGGGAGUACGACCGCAAGGUUGAAACUCAAAGGAAUUGACGGGGGCCCGCACAAGCAGUGGAGUAUGUGGUUUAAUUCGACGCAACGCGAAGAACCUUACCAAGUCUUGACAUCCUGCGACGAUGCUGGAAACAGUAUUUUCCUUCGGGACGCAGAGACAGGUGGUGCAUGGUUGUCGUCAGCUCGUGUCGUGAGAUGUUGGGUUAAGUCCCGCAACGAGCGCAACCCUUACUGUCAGUUACUACGCAAGAGGACUCUGGCAGGACUGCCGUUGACAAAACGGAGGAAGGUGGGGAUGACGUCAAAUCAUCAUGCCCUUUAUGACUUGGGCUACACACGUACUACAAUGGCGUUAAACAAAGAGAAGCAAGACCGCGAGGUGGAGCAAAACUCAGAAACAACGUCCCAGUUCGGACUGCAGGCUGCAACUCGCCUGCACGAAGUCGGAAUUGCUAGUAAUCGUGGAUCAGCAUGCCACGGUGAAUACGUUCCC